rnacentral:lncRNA from 1 species
UGGAGAACAACAGGCCUGUGUGUCCUCAGAUGAGGUCCUGUCUUUUCAGAAGAGUCUUCAAGAUUCAGCCUCAUGGCUCUGCAUCCUAGCUGGCCUGUUACUCACUAUGGCUAGCCUCCCGAGGGCUAUGGCACCAUCGCAAGGAAACUUUUGUACAGCAUUACAACGGGCGUCUCUCCUGGGGACAUGCACCUACUUCCCCAAAGUGUCUUGAUGUUCAGCCAGCCACCCUCGGCUUGUGCAGCUCUCUUCCCCUUCGGCACCCUAGGGCGUUUGUAGCGUGACUUAGCUCCUGUCACACGUUCUUUGAGUUGAAAGUGCUGUCCCUGGCUCCUAGGGGUGCGCGGAAGAUAUGCAUGAGCAUGGACACCCAGAUAUGUGGCAGCACUCAUGUCUUUGGAUGUUAAU